UUUAUCCAUGUUGACUCAUUGCAGCUGGACGCUAAGAUAAAAUUAGAUGGAUAUGUUAUUAUCUAUAAUGUGAAAUCCAGUUUAUCGGGGAUGGAAGUGUGUAUGACUAGGGAUUUUGAGUUGCUAUGCAGAAGCAGUCUUGGCAAACUAUCGUCUAACUUCUCCUAUAGCUCAACACAAGAAUGUUGAACAAGUCACAGGCGCAUGCAUGAAACCUCCAAGCUUGUGCAUUGUUACAGAAUUUAUGUCUGGUAGAAGUGUGUAUGACUAUCUCCACAAACAAAAGGGUACAUUUAAACUACCAUCUUUACUAAGAGUAGCAAUUGAUAAAUCGAGGGGUAUGCACUACAUACACCAAAACAGUAUAAUUCACAAAGACUUGAAGGCUGCCAAUCUUCUGAUGGAUGGAAAUGAAGUAAUAUGAACCUAGUUUGUUUGCUGUGGACCUUUGACUUUUUUGGCAUUUGCUUAUGAUUGUUCUUUUGAAUAGACGUUUAUAGAACACAAGCCCUACGAUCACAAGGCGAUGAAGGAGAGGAUAGACACAGUGAAAUCAUGGUGGAUUUCUUUUGGUCCUUGGACGGGGACAACACUAAAGUGAGGGUUCACAAUUUUGGAGUGAAUUUGUCACCUCUGUAUGUAAUUGGGUACUAAAUUUAACCGAUGUUUAAUCAUAAAUUAGUUUCAUCAUACAUGUAGAGGAAUGUUAUUUUUUUACCUUUCAUAUUGGAAUCAAUAAACUGCAGA